GCUUGUCUCAAAGAUUAAGCCAUGCAUGUCUAAGUAUAAACAACUUUAUACUGUGAAACUGCGAACGGCUCAUUAUAUCAGCAAUAAUUUAUUUGAUGGUUUCUUACUACAUGGAUAACUGUAGUAAUUCUAGAGCUAAUACAUGCGAAAAGACGCGACUCACGAAGCGUUGUAUUUAUUAGAUACAAAACCAAUGCGGGGCAACCCGGUAUAAGGUGAUUCAUAAUAACUUUGCGAAUCGCAUGGCCUUGCGCCGGCGAUGAAUCAUUCAAAUUUCUGCCCUAUCAACUUUCGAUGGUAAGGUAUUGGCUUACCAUGGUCGCAACGGGUAACGGGGAAUAAGGGUUCGGUUCCGGAGAGGGAGCCUGAGAAAUGGCUACCACAUCCAAGGAA
rnacentral:rRNA from 1 species